GUUUGCGAUCAUACCAGCACUAAUGCAAAGGAUCCCAUUAAAACUCCGCAGUUAAACGUGUUUGGGCGAGAGUAGUACUAGGAUGAGACCGUCCUCGUGCUGCACGCC
rnacentral:rRNA from 1 species